ensembl:snRNA U6 U6 spliceosomal RNA
GUGCUUGCUUUGGCAGCACAUAAACUAAAAUUGGAAUGAUACAGAGAAGAUUAGCAUGGCUCUUGCACAAGGAUGUCACACAAGUUCAUGAAUCAUAUUUUU